rnacentral:rRNA from 1 species
UACGAAGGGGCUAGCGUUGCUCGGAAUCACUGGGCGUAAGGGCGCGUAGGCGGGCCAUUCAAGUCCAGAGGUGAAGCCCAAGGCUCAACCUUGGAAUUGCCUUUGAUACUGGUUGGCUUGAGACCGGAAGAGGUAAGUGGAACUGCGAGUGUAGAGGUGAAAUUCGUAGAUAUUCGCAAGAACACCAGUGGCGAAGGCGGCUACUGGACACAUAGUUGGACGCUGAGGUGCGGAAAG